ACAGCAAAUUUAGCAGAGUUAAAAUUACGGUGUUAAUGGAAAUAUAAAGAGUUCGGAGUUAAUUUAACACUGGAUUGAGUUAAAACUAUUUUAUUUAACUCUAUAAAAAUAAAGAGUUGGUGUCAAAACAGAGUGUUACCACUUUUUAAAAAAAUCAACUCCUAGAGUGUUUUGUUAGUGGAGUUUGUUAACUCUUAGGGUGUUAAAUAGAGAAGACCUCCCACUUUUUACAGCACACACUGAACCGUGUUUUUGGAUGAUGCAGUUCAAGCAGAAGAUCAUCUCUUUCACUGUAAAUGGAGAUUUGCUUUGGGGACUUUAGAGGAGCACAGACAUAGGCCUACAUGAAAAUUUCUUCAGACGAAGAGCAAUUUUAUAACAAAAAAAGUUCAAUAUCCAGUCUGAAGGUCUGACCGUCGAGGAUCAUAUCACCUCCUUACAGCUACUGGUUCAUCAUAUUCUGCUGUUAAUAUGUGAAGACCAACAUGGAUUUUGGAUUGAAAUGAAGUCAGACUUGUUUGUAUGAACUGAAGCAUCGCAUAAACUGUGUUUACUGUUGUUAUACAUUGGGAAUGUGCUUUUUAGUUGUCUCGGAUGUUAAUAUGUUAAUUUAAUGAACACUUAAAUGCAUGAUACAUUGAGGACAAUUUUUCUGUCAUAAAUCAAUGUUGAUCAGAUGACAUUAAACAA